rnacentral:rRNA from 1 species
UACGGGGGGGGCAAGCGUUGUUCGGAAUUACUGGGCGUAAAGGGCUCGUAGGCGGCCAACUACGUCAUACGUGAAAUCCCUCAGCUUAACUGGGGAACUGCGUGUGAUACUGGAUGGCUUGGAUUUGGGAGAGGGAUGCGGAAUUCCAGGUGUAGCGGUGAAAUGCGUAGAUAUCUGGAGGAACACCGGUGGCGAAGGCGGCAUCCUGGACCAAUAUUGACGCUGAGGAGCGAAAGCCAGGGGAGCAAACGGG